CUUCCACUAGCCCAGGUUGCUCAGAGCCCCAUCCAACCUAGCUUUGAACAGUUCCAGAGAUGGGGCAGCCACAGAUUCUGUGCCUUCUACCCUCACCACCCUAACAGUAAAGAAUUUCUUCCUCAUACUUAAUCUAAACCUAGCCUCUGUCAGUGUGAAGCCAUUCCCACUCAUCCUGUCACUCCAGGCUCUUGCCAAUUGUCUCCAUCUUGUCUCCUGUGUAUAUUGAAAGGCCACAUAAGGUCUCCCUGGACCCUUCUCCAGGCUGAACAACCCCAACUAUCUAGGCCUGUCCUCAUAGGAGAAGUUAAUUAAUUUCUGAUUGAUUUUUGAUAAUCUGCUUUAGAGACUCUCCUAGGGGGAGGAGGUUCCCAUCUUCUAAGGAAUGUGAGCAUUUCAGGAGCUCCUGAGGAGGAAUGGCUGCCAAAGAACAGGUGUAAAACAUCUCCUUCAUUUUAGGAGCACCAGCUUCCAGGAUCACUUGGAGUUAUGUAGCCUCCUUGUAUCAGCUAUGUAGUGAAAUCAUUAUCUUAUAUAUAUUAUUAUAUAUAUAUUAUAUAAUCCUUCCAGUCUAAAGAGCACAAACUGCCUGGACAGGAUACCACUUAAAAUGCUUAAGAGCAUGGACAAGGCAGGUUCUCCCUGCUGAUCCUCCCAUGGGGAUGCCAGUAAGAAUUCUCUGCUGCGCCUAACCACUGAUCCCUGGCUACAGGAGCAUUGCUCCCUGUUUAGAGGAACAUUGAUUCCUGGAUAUAGGAACCUCCUCAUCUCUGAUUCCUUUACAUGCUUGUAUUUGAUUGAAAUAAGACAGUUGGUUCCUAAUGGGCAGCUGACAGUGGGAUAAAAAAAGCUGUAUUUCCUUCAAAAACUAGAGGAAAAAACCAUCCCCAAGCCUGUCAAAACUACACCAUGAAAUUAAUCCCCAAAUCUGAAAAUAUGUAUUAAAAUCAAAGAGAGCUUCUGAACUGUGUUUGAUUUUGAAACUUCUUGGGAGAAAUGGACACUAUUAGGUGAUGAAUCAUCUGACCUGUUUCAGGUGUCUACCUUAGGAAUAGGUGAAUCAUGCCCUAGAAAGGCUGCUUCAGUAUUUGACAAAGGGGCUUUCCUUGUUUUGUUUGAUGAUCUAUUCUCAAUUUGUUAUUACUUAUAAUAUUUUACCAUUUUUUAAUACUCAGUUAAUCUUUGCUCAGGACAAGGAUGGGCUGAUAAUAUAUCUUUCUCUGAGAACUGUGGUUUCAAAAAAUCAGCAGUUUCACUACUGUGAUUUUGUAGUUCGUCUUCUGGAAGGGAUGUGUGGAAUAGAAACAGUGAAGUCAUAAGACCAGAGAAGACAGAAGCCCAGAGGGGAAAAAGGUACUCAUGACAAAUUCCCCUGCAAGCUCAGACAAUAAUCCUUGGGAAAACUGAGUGUCAGGAUCCUGGUUAUGGAGCCAUUGGGCCAUUUAUGGACAACCUUUGCUGGAGAGUGCUGCUGCAGUCAUGAUCAUCAUCAAGAAAGGAAAACACACAAAUGGACCAUGCAAACUAAGAUGGUUUUUGGUUGGACUUUAUGACCUUAAAGGUACUUUAGUAGUUUUGUUCUGAGUAGUUUUGUUUGACCUCAUUGCAGCCUUCCAGCAUCUGAAGGGAGCCUAUGGAAAACAUGGAGGGAGACUAUUUAAAAGGGCCUGGAGUGACAGGACAAGGGGAAAUGGCUUCACACUGACAGAGAGGAGUUUAGGUUGGAUAUUGGGAAG